GUGAGGAAUUUUCCGCAAUGGGCGAAAGCCUGACGGAGCAAUGCCGCGUGAAGGAUGAAGGCCUAUGGGUUGUAAACUUCUUUUCUCAGAAAAGAAUUAUGACGGUAUCUGAGGAAUAAGCAUCGGCUAACUCUGUGCCAGCAGCCGCGGUAAGACAGAGGAUGCAAGCGUUAUCCGGAAUGAUUGGGCGUAAAGCGUCUGUAGGUUGUUUAAAAAGUAUUCUGUCAAAGAUUAGGGCUUAACCCUAGAUAGGCAGAAUAAACUUUUAAGCUAGAGUUUGAUAGAGGCAGAGGGAAUUCCCGGUGGAGCGGUGAAAUGCGUAGAUAUCGGGAGGAACACCAAAGGCGAAGGCACUCUGCUGGGCCAAUACUAACACUGAGAGACGAAAGCGAGGGGAGCAAAUGGGAUUAGAUACCCUUGUAGUCC
rnacentral:rRNA from 1 species